rnacentral:rRNA from 1 species
AUUGAACGCUGGCGGCAGGCUUAACACAUGCAAGUCGAGCGGAGCGGCGGACGGGUGAGUAAUGCCUAGGAAUCUGCCUGGUAGUGGGGUAUAACGUCCGGAAACGGGCGCUAAUACCGCAUACUAUCAGAUGAGGCAAGGUCGGUUUGGCUAGUUGGUGGGGUAAAGGCCUACCAAGGCGACGAUCCGUAACUGGUAUGAGAGGAUGAUCAGUCACACUGGAACUGGGACACGGGCCAGACGCCUACGGGAGGCAGCAGUGGGGAAUAUGGGACAAUGGGCGAAGGCCUGAUCCAGCCAUGCCGCGUGUGUGAAGAAGGUCUUCGGAUUGUAAAGCACUUUAAGUUGGGAGGCGUUACCAACAGAAUAAGCACCGGCUAACUUCGUGCCAGCAGCCGCGGUAAUUC